UCGGAUAUGGUGUAACGGCUAACAUUGCCGCCUCUCAUAUGCGUGGACAAUAAAGUGCGCGGCAGCUCGGGGUUCGAUUCCCCGUAUCCGAA